AAUAUUGCACAAUGGAGGGAACUCUGAUGCAGCAACGCCGCGUGAGUGAAGAAGGUUUUCGGAUCGUAAAACUCUGUCAUUGGGGAAGAAUAAAUGACGGUACCCAAUGAGGAAGCCCCGGCUAACUACGUGCCAGCAGCCGCGGUAAUACGUAGGGGGCUAGCGUUGUCCGGAUUUACUGGGCGUAAAGGGUGAGUAGGCGGUUGCAUAAGUCAGAUGUAAAAGGCUAAGGCUUAACCAUAGUAUGCAUUUGAAACUGUGUGACUUGAGUACAGGAGAGGUAAGCGGAAUUCCUAGUGUAGCGGUGAAAUGCGUAGAUAUUAGGAGGAACACCAGUGGCGAAGGCGGCUUACUGGACUGUAACUGACGCUGAGUCACGAAAGCGUGGGUAGCAAACA
rnacentral:rRNA from 1 species